CAACAUUAACUUUCUCUCUGAUUUUGACCAACAGGAAAAGAAAAAGGGAAAUGGAGCAGGAGGACAGCUCAUACAUCAAAAAGUCACCAAAUGCCUUCAUGAUGUUUAUGAGAAUGUACAGAAAAAAUGUACCAGCUGAAGUUGCAGAGAUAGGGAGCGCAGAGAUGAACGCUUUCCUCGGCCAGUGGGUAAGUGUGUCAGGACAUGGUUCACUCGGGUUUAAAUAAAUCAAAGAUUUUUACUUUAUCUUUUCACUGUAACUGUUAAUGUUGCUUUUUAUUUACUGUCUCAUGUAAAGAACUUUUAAAGGUAUGAAAGUUUGCAUAAAGGAAAUGUCGUACACUCACUAAUGAGUACCUGGUGUGCACCAGGUGUUGUUCAUGCGCCAGUGGAUGAUCCAGUUUGGAAAUGAGUGUGUUUCUGACAAUAUGUUUUGUAUGUUCACAGUGGAAGAAGCUUACAGAGGAACAGCGAGGGGACUUUAAAGAAAUGGCCAGAGUGGAAAAGGAAGAACACAGUCGGCUGUACCCUGGUUGAUCAGCCAUCAGCAACUUUGUAAGUACACAAUCUAUGCACAGCAGCAUCACAAAUGUUGUGAUGUGAGAUUUCAAAAGCAGCUUUAUACUACUGACACUGCAUAGUCUGGUGUUACCAGGUCAGAAAAGUAACAAUGUUAUGUUGUUUUUCAGGGCAAGAAAACGUAAAGGAUGAGGAAAAGCUCACCAGCUGCAACUGAACCAUUUAACCAGUACCCAUACCAGCAGCAAAAAAUAUAUUAAAAAAUCAAAUAAAG